UAAAAAGACUUAAAACGCCAUGAAAAGACCUCGGGUCCGCAAUGCGCUUCCCGCUCCUCGCUUGAAUCUCUUUCCUCGUUUGUUGAUCAAAUCGCGGGAAAUCGUCGACAGAGCUGCGUGCUGCAAUGGAUAUUAGAAAUUAUUUUGCCCGAGCUGGGGCAAAGAAACCAGAGAAGACAUCCACCCAAGGGAAGGAGGUCAAAAGAAAAGCUGUCAUCAUUGACUCCGAUGAGGAGGAUCCCCUACCAUCCUCCAGUAAAAAGAAAGUUUUAGCUUCUGAUUCGGAUGAUGAUGACCUUUUUGUAACUAAAAGUAAAAAACAUAUGGAGAAGGAAGAGUCUCCAGCAUUACCCAAACCAGCUGCACCAAAAUUGAAACCUGUGGCUGCUUCAGACUUUUUUGGAAGUUCACCAGUGAUCAGAAAAGAGGACAGGAAACCAUCGUUAAAGAGAAAAAAAAGUGAUGAGGACAAUAAAGGCAACAACAGUGAUGAUGACUUCCAAAAAACUUUGGAGCAGCUUGACAAACAGCAGCAGCAUGCAUCCAAGAGACCAAAACAAGAGACUAAGUCUCCCUCAGGGAAUGAGACGAAACCAAAGCCAAAUGAAAAUAGUCCUCCAAAUAAGAACAUUUCAAAGGGAGGUUUAGCAAGUAAAUUGUCAGCUAAAUUGAAAGAGAGCACUGACACAAAAACAACUAAAGAAGAGAAAACAGCACUGCAAAAAGACAAGAAAAUUCAUAGCCAUGAAAGCAAUUAUAAAAACAAAAGUGAGAAACCUGAAGACAUAAGAAGUUCAGAUGUCAAGAAGGAAAAAAGAGCCCUUGAAAAGGAAAAAGAUGUGAUUGUUAAGAAAGAGGAAAGAAUAAGUCCCAAGAAAGAGAAAAUUACACCAAAGAAAGAGAAAGGCAGUCCAUCAGACAGAGCAACAUUAACAUCUGAAGUGAAAAAGAAAACUCCAAAGAAGAGCGAGACAAGUGAAAGUGAAGAAGUUGGGUCAACUCCCCAGCCAGAGGAAAAGAAGAACAGUUCCAAGACAGCUUACCUUAAGUUUUUGCAAAGGUCUGGGCCCAGUAACCCAGGCAGCAAAGAGAUUCCUGAGGGGGAGCCAGAUUGUUUGCAAGGCCUUGUGUUUGUGCUUAGUGGUGUAUAUGAAAGUCUGGAUAGAGAAGAAGCCUCAGAGUUGAUUAAGAAAUAUGGUGGGAAGGUCACAACGUCUGUUAGCCGCAAUACAUCCUAUCUUGUCCUGGGAAAUGAAGCUGGGGAAAGUAAGAUAAAAAAGGCAGAACAAUUAGGCACAAAACGUCUGGAUGAAGAUGGAUUAUUAGACCUUAUUCGUACAAGAAAAGGAAAAGGGUCUAGAGAGGAAACUCCUAAGAAAGUGAAAGAAACCCCCAGCAAGCUGAAAGCAUUUGCAAAAGAAAGUAAAGAAAGUCCACUUGGGAAAUCCCUGGCGAGUAGUCCAGUGUCAAAGAGUCCAGUGUCCAGUUUUGGAGCAAGUGCAUCUAAAACCCCCAGUCCAUCAAGUUCACUCUCUCAGCACACCCCUGGAUCAAAAGCAAGUGGCAGUCCAUCAUCCACUAACUCAUCCCCAAAGACUCAGCCAUUAUCUUCCCAAGAGCUGAGUAGAAAAUCUGGUGAGACGCUUAUGUGGGUGGACAAAUACAAGCCUGCCAAUAUCAAGAACAUCAUUGGACAACAGUCAGAAAAGUCCAAUGUGAAGAAGUUACUCCUUUGGCUACAAAAUUGGCAUAAAAACCAGUUUGGAGGCAAGAAACUACAAAGACCAAGUCCUUGGGCUAAAGAUGAUAAUGGUGCAUUCUUCAAGGCUGCCCUUUUGUCAGGGCCCCCAGGAGUUGGUAAGACAACAACAGCACACAUGGUCUGCAGGGAAGCAGGUUUUGAUUUUAUUGAGCUCAAUGCAUCAGAUGCUCGUUCCAAGCGCACUUUGGAUCAAGUUGUUUCUGAACUUCUUUCAAAUAAAACUUUGGCUGGUUUUACUAAAAGUAAUGACCAGAGCAGUAUUAGUACCAAACAUGCCUUGGUGAUGGAUGAAGUAGAUGGAAUGUCUGGUAACGAAGACCGAGGUGGAGUUCAGGAGCUAAUCACUCUCAUAAAGAAAUCCAAAAUACCAAUCAUAACAAUGUGUAACGACAGGAAUCACCCAAAAAUUCGUUCUUUAGCCAACCAUUGCUUUGACCUCAGAUUCUACAAACCAAGGGUGGAACAAAUAAGGGGGCCAAUGAUGUCUAUAUGCUUCCGUGAAGGUAUCAAGAUUAAGCCAGAUGCCCUUGAUCAGAUAAUCAUAGGAUCAAAUCAGGACAUAAGGCAGAUCCUUCACCAUCUUUCAAUGUGGUCAGCAAAUGACAAAAAUCUGCAGGUUGAUGAUAUGAAGAGAGAAGCAGAAAAAGCCAAGAAAGAUUUUAAAAUGGGUCCAUGGGAUGUGUGUAAGAAAGUAUUCUCUGAGUCUGACCACAAAACAAUGAGCCUCUAUGAUAAGUCUGACCUGUUCUUCCAUGAUUAUUCCAUUGCACCCCUUUUUGUUCAAGAAAAUUAUCCAAAAGCUGUUCCACAUAUUGCCAAGGGCAAUCGACGCAUCACUUUAGAACAAAUAUCUAAAACUGCAAGCAGUCUAGCAGAUGGAGACUUAGUUGAGAAAGCCAUUAGGUCUAAAAAUGCAUGGUCUCUCCUUCCUACUCAGGCAAUGUUCAGCAGUGUUUUGCCAGGGGAAUACAUGGCUGGGCAUUUAGCUGGACAGAUUGAGUUCCCACGAUGGCUGGGCAACAACAGUCGUCGCAACAAAUUUGACCGUCUCAUGCAAGAACUCCAAAUGCACAUGAGACUUAAGAUAUCUGGUACAAAAUUGGAUGUUGGAGUGGACUAUUGUGGGCAUCUGAGAAAUGCUGUGAUCAGUCCCUUGAUUCAACAUGGGCCAGAAGGUGUACAGGAUGCUGUAAAAUCUAUGACUGCCUAUGAUCUCUUGCGAGAGGACCUGGAGUCCUUGCAAGAACUUAGUCAGUGGCCAGGAAGCAAGGACCCCAUGAGUCAGGUCGAUAGCAAGGUCAAGGCUGCCUUCACACGCCUCUAUAACAAGGAAAGCCAGCCAAGCCCAUAUGCGGCUGUACACAUAUCCAAGAAGAAGGGAAGCAAAGGAGGAGAGGACUUGUAUGAUGAGGAAGAAAUGGAGGAAGAAGAGGACAAUGAUGAUAUAGCUGGAGAUGCCAUGAUUAAGGUCAAGAAGAGUGGAGAAAAGAAGGCAGCAGAUGCUGGCAAAGGAAAAGGCAAGGGGUUAGCCAGCAGUAGAGGAGGGAGUGGAAGAGGUAGAGGUAAAGGGAAGAAGUGAGAUCAUAGAAUGUCAGUGUUUGCUCAGUAUUACUGUAGGAUGUUAUAGAUUUCCUUAAAGGUUAACCCAUUGGCGUGAUCAGUGACGUGAAUAUUUCGCUCCUGCCGGUUGAUGUCUUAUCAUGUUACGUAUGUACAUAAUCAUAGAACUUCCAUUUGUAUAGAAACAUUUUUAUUCACUUGUUAAAAUAAUGUAAAUGGUCACUGCAUGCACUUGUUAUCUGUCUGGCGGGAGCAGGAUUAUGCAAAUAUAGGUCCUGGUGUGAAUGGGUUUACCCAUUAACACAGGGUGACAAGAUAUCGCAUUGAGUGGUGGCAGGACCAGCCACUGGGGAUGAGAUAUUUUGUCAUGGUUAUCCUCAUGACUGGCGUGCCUGGUGAUUGGACGUGUAGCACUUGGCCAUGGCUAGUGUGGGUGAAUAGCCCGAGGCGUUAGGCUUAUGUAUUUGAAAUGUCCUGUUGUUUCGACUGUUUGAAGCCAAAACAUCCCCAUUGACAAUGGGUUAAUUAGAAGUCUUAUUAUUAAUAGGAUGAUGGGCUCAUGGAAAGCAUUGAUAAUAUGAUGAAAAAUCAGAGCCAUUUGUGUUAAAAAACAAACAAACAAACAUAUUAUCAAGAAGAUAAAAAGUUAAUUAACCUACUAUGUGACGGUUUAACUAUUUGAAGGUUUAAAAAGGCAAACUUUAAUAUGGAUAUAUAGUGCCACAUCAAGUACAACAAAUUUUAUAUAUUUUUUAUAUUAUCUAGAGUGUGCAUCCUACAGUAAUUGAUAUUUAUUUGUGAAUUACAUUGAUGAUACAGAAACUAGAAAUGUACACAAGAGAUAAGUCACAGCUGUCUUGAAAUUAUCUAAAUUAAGUAAAUCAGUCAGUGAUUUCAAAUCAAUGAGCCAUGAGGUGAUACAUUAACAAGUAUUCAGUAGUAUAUCAGAAUAAUGUCUUCCUAAAAAAAAAAACAUAAAAACAACAACCAUACAAAAUGUUUUGUUUUAUACUUUUUAAAAAUAUAUUCUUGUUUUACUUACAAAUAUACUGAUGUAUUUAUUAAAUGAAAUUAUAGUGUUUUUUAUGAAAUGGUAAACUCCUCAAGUCUAGAGAUUCAGUUAAUUUUCUUAACAAAAUGUGCAUAUUCUGAUGAAUCACCAUUGUUUUUAUAAUUAUAUAAAUAAAAGUCUUUAGCAAUUAAUUUUGAAUGGUAUCUAAGCAUGAUGAUCAGCUAAUUUAUUUAUCAGUUUAAUUGUAUAUAUUCAAAAUCUGUUAAAAGAGCAUCUGUCAAGCAUCUGUCAGAUUAUCCCAAACUUUCCACCCUCAGUUCUGUGACAAUAAAUGCAAACAGACCAUCAUUGCAAUGGUCAAAUAUACUGGAUGAAGUAUUUGCUCUUGUAAUUGUAUUACUAAAAUACAGUACUUGGGUACAGGCAGUCAGUUUCAGUGAUGGUAGGGUAUAGUUAUAAAGAGCAGCGAGACUGGCUGUAUUGUGUUCAAAUUUAUCAUAACUUUGUUACAUACCAUCUUUGUACAGUGUGGUAUUUUUUUUCUAUAAAAAUGUAUUAUAUAAA
rnacentral:misc_RNA from 1 species